rnacentral:rRNA from 1 species
CCUACGGGAGGCAGCAGUGAGGAAUAUUGGUCAAUGGACGGAAGUCUGAACCAGCCAUGCCGCGUGCAGGAAGACGGCUCUAUGAGUUGUAAACUGCUUUUGUACAAGGGUAAACCUGAAUACGUGUAUUCAGCUGAAAGUACUGUACGAAUAAGGAUCGGCUAACUCCGUGCCAGCAGCCGCGGUAAUACGGAGGAUCCAAGCGUUAUCCGGAUUUAUUGGGUUUAAAGGGUGCGUAGGCGGAUUGAUAAGUUAGAGGUGAAAUGUCCGAGCUUAACUCGGGAACUGCCUCUAAUACUGUUGGUCUAGAGAGUAGAUGCGGUAGGCGGAAUGCAUGGUGUAGCGGUGAAAUGCUUAGAGAUCAUACAGAACACCGAUUGCGAAGGCAGCUUACCAAUCUAUAACUGACGUUGAGGCACGAAAGCGUGGGGAGCAAACAGGAUUAGAUACCCCAGUAGUC